rnacentral:tRNA from 1 species
CAGAUUAAAGCUUGUUUUAAGCAUUUUAUUUACAUUAAAAAGGAUUACUUUAAUUAGUAUAGUCUGA